GAGGAUAAACUCAGUUUCCUGUCUCACAUAAGGGGCCAAAGCCUGGGGUGAAGCUGUACGUCGGCAGCCCCAGCCCCAGAAAAGGAACCUACUCUCCAUGCACGUCUCUCUGGAGCAACCUGAAGACAGGAUCUUGGCCUCAGGACAGUUUUGCAGGCUGGGAAGUCCAAGAUAAAGCCACCAGCAUCUGACAAUGGCCUUCUUGCAACAUCCUCCAACAGAGAGGAACAACAUGUCCUCACAUGGCAGAAGAGCACAGAGGAAAAAGAAGACCAAACUCACUCUUUUAUAAGAGCAUUAAUCCCACAUAGGAAGGCAGAGCCCUCAUGGCCCUUUUGCUUCCCAAAAUUCUCAUAUUCUAAUACCACCACGGUGGGAACCAAAUUUCAACAUGAGUUUUGGAGCAGACAAACAUUCAAACCAUAGCACCGCUCAAACCUUUGAUGAGACCACAUCCUCAGCAAACACCUAGAUUAAAAUCUGGUGAGCUCUUAAAGCAGAGAACAUAACUACACUAUGCCUGGACUUCUGACUUAUAGAAACUGUGAGAUAAUAAAUGUGUGUCUUUAAACCCUCAA
ensembl:lncRNA novel transcript